rnacentral:lncRNA from 1 species
ACAUAUACCACCAAAUCUAAAUUUUACCAUCAGCCAUUACAUCGAUCAAAGUGAUUGGUUUUGAUACAAAAGUAGGCUAACACAAGCCUAUUACCAUCUACCAAAUACCAUCAAACUUAAUACUCAUAGUUUAAUGUCUGAGUAUACAAAAGAAGGUAGAAUGCAAGGGCUAUUACCAUCUAAAAGCUAUCCAUUAUAGCCAUUCAUUUUCUAAGUAUGCAAAGAAAAGGUUGAACACAGGGCUAAUACCAACAGCCAACACACAACCAUCAUCGCACAACUCAACCAUUAAAAGUGGUGGCAAUAUAUCUUGCAACCCAAGUGACCUUGUGGGCAAAUUCAAGGGUAACAAACACCCUUGCAGUUGGAGGAUUGUCA